GCAACGGAUAUCUUGGCUCACGCAUCGAUGAAGAACGUAGCAAAAUGCGAUACUUGGUGUGAAUUGCAGAAUCCCGUGAACCAUCGAGUUUUUGAACGCAAGUUGCGCCCGAAGCCAUUCGGCCGAGGGCACGCCUGCCUGGGCGUCACGCAUCGCGUCGCU
rnacentral:rRNA from 2 species